AGCAGCCGCGGUAAUUCCAGCUCCAAUAGCGUAUAUUAAAGUUGCUGCAGUUAAAAAGCUCGUAGUUGAAUUUCGGGACCAUCAUGUUGGUCGUGCCUCGGUACGUACUGGCAUUGUUGGUUUCUCCCUUCUGACGAACCAUGAUGUCAUUUAUUUGGUGUCGUGGGAAAUCAGGACUGUUACUUUGAAAAAUUAGAGUGUUUAAAGCAGGCUCACGCUUGAAUACAUUAGCAUGGAAUAAUGAAAUAGGACGUUUGAUUCUAUUUUGUUGGUUUCUAGGAUCGACGUAAUGGUUAAUAGGGAUAGUUGGGGGCAUUAGUAUUCAAUUGUCAGAGGUGAAAUUCUUGGAUUUAUUGAAGACUAACUACUGCGAAAGCAUUUGCCAAGGAUGUUUUCAUUAAUCAAGAACGAAAGUUAGGGGAUCGAAGACGAUCAGAUACCGUCGUAGUCUUAACCAUAAACUAUGCCGACUAGGGAUCGGAUGAUGUUAAUUUUUAAUGACUCAUUCGGCGCCUUAAC
rnacentral:misc_RNA from 1 species